AUCCGCGCCCAGCCUUAGGUCCUACUAUUUUGCACUGACUUUGAUUAAACCUUCUCUUUCGGUUGGUGUCUUUGUUUGCGUAAUCGGACGCCUUGAAUCUUCAUAUCGGAGACGAUAACAAUGGCGUCGCUUCUUACGACGGGGCUCAUACAAUCUCAUCAUCUCUCUUGGAGAAUCCAUCGAGUCAAGCUCUUAUCUUGCUCCACAGAUUUGCCCACUCGGAAGGUUGUCAAGGAAUCAAAGCUUUCUAGAGAUUCCAGUCGAAAGAUCAAAGUCGUAGACUAUGCUCCACUCAUCGAAAGCUUAAACCGAAGAAGAUUGCCUGAUGAAGCUCAUGAGAUUUUCAUCCAAAUGAAAUCAGACAACUUGCUGCCUAACUACAGAACGCUUUCCGCUCUUAUGCUCUGCUUUGCUCAAAACGGUUCUGUCCUUCGAUCGCGUGCCAUCUGGGAGGAGAUUCUAAACAGCUCUUUCGUCCCUGAUCUCCUUGUCAUCUCAAAGCUCAUGUCUGCUUACGAGCAGAUUGGUUGUUUUAGUGAAGUUUCCAAAAUCACCAGGGACAUAAGUGCAAGACAUCCUAAGCUGCUUCCCGUCGUAUCCUCACUUGCUAUUUGCUGUUUUGGAAAGAAGGGUCAGUUGGAAUUGAUGGAGGAUGCUAUAGAUGAAUUGGAUUUAAAUGAGAUCUCCUUAGACUCGGCCACUGCUAACGCAGUUGUCAGAUACUAUAGCGUUUUUGGUACUCUAGAGAAGAUGGAGCAGGCUUAUAGCCGGCUUAAGAAGUCUGGUGUUGUGAUAGAGGAAGGAGAGAUAAGAGCUGUGUUGUUAGCAUACUUAAAACAAAGGAAGUUUUAUCGGCUUCGUGAGUUUUGUUCAGACCUUGGUCUUGGUAGGAGAGACCUGGGGAAUAUGUUAUGGAACUCUGUGUUACUGUCGUAUGCAGCUGACUUUAAGAUGAAAAGCUUGCAGAGAGAGUUCAUUGAAAUGCGUGGCGCUGGUGUCUCUCCUGACCUUACCACAUUUAACAUACGUGCUCUUGCGUUUUCUAGGUUGGCUCUUUUCUGGGAUCUGCAUCUUACGCUUGAACAUAUGAGAGUUUUUGACAUUGUUCCGGAUCUCGUGACUUUUGGAUGUGUGGUCGAUGCGUACAUGGAUAAGAGGCUAGCGAGGAAUUUGGAAUUUGUAUACAACCGAAUGAACCUGGACGACUCUCCUGUUGUUUUAACUGAUCCACUCGUCUUUGAAGUACUGGGGAAAGGAGAUUUCCAUCUUAGCUCAGAAGCUGUUUUGGAGUUUGGUCAACGGAGAAACUGGACGUAUAGAAAGCUAAUUGGAGUUUAUCUCAAAAAGAAGUUGCGAAGAGACCAGAUUUUCUGGAAUUACUAACCACCUCUUUGCCGCAGCGCAGCGUGAUAAACUUAUCAGAUGCUUAAAACACUGAGGUAAUUCGAAGAGGCCAAAUGAACUGCUGACAUGGACAAGAUAUAAAGAGAUAGACUCUGGUGGACUUGGAAGGUUUUCGGUUGAAGAAGACUCACGACGAAGGCCUAGAUAUAAAUAGAGUUCUUCUUCAUUUGUUGUUCAUGCUUUGAAUGUUGUUGUAGAAAGACCCUAUGAGUCUUCUCUCUCAGUCGCCAAGAAAAUGAUGAUUCAUGUUAUGUUGUUAUGUUCGCCAUGAGAGUGUAGCUUCGAAGCUGUAUCGUUUUCUUAUUGAAUUGCUAGUUCCGUGAGUUAGAGAUAUCCAAACUCUAUCACACUGAUAAGCUAUUGAGAGCUUAUGUGAAACAGAGGAUGAAGAGAGCUGACGUGGAAGGGACAUCUAAAGAUCUCAACAAACAAUGUUGACGUGGCGAGGAGGGAGGAAGAAGUUUGUUACGAUCAGUUUUACAUAAAUAUUUACUUGUUUGUUGCUUUGAUUUUUUAUCGAGUAAUUGUACUUUGAUCAUUGGGCUUGUAGAGAGAUUUUCUCUAUGAGAAGGCAGUAAUUCGAGAGAGUGUUCUCGUUUUGCUGAGGAUCAGAUACUUUGAGGAGAGAUUCUUAUUGUAUUUGAUAUUGACACUCUUGUUAAUCGAA